UGGUCGCAGGUUCGAAUCCUGCACGACCCACCAAUUUCAGCAUUUAACUCAGAUGCUGAACGUGAAGGAUAACGUUGUGUCAGCAACGGCCCGAAGGGCAAGGCAAAGCCGAGUCAUCCUGCACGACCUACCA
rnacentral:sRNA from 1 species